GACGAACGCUGGCGGCGCGCUUAACACAUGCAAGUCGAACGGAAAGGCCUGCUUUCCCUUGUGGAUUGCGGGUACUCGAGUGGCGAACGGGUGAGUAACACGUGAGUGAUCUGCCCCCAACUUGGGUAUAAGCCUGGGAAACUGGGUCUAAUUCCCGAUAGGACUGCAGGGUGGUGCCUGUGGUGGAAAACGAUUUUCUAGUGGUUGGGGAUGAGCUCGCGGCCUAUCAGCUUGUUGGUGGGGUAAUGGCCUACCAAGGCGGCGACGGGUAGCCGGCCUGAGAGGGUGGACGGCCACAUUGGGACUGAGAUACGGCCCAGACUCCUACGGGAGGCAGCAGUGGGGAAUAUUGCACAAUGGGCGGAAGCCUGAUGCAGCGACGCCGCGUGGGGGAUGACGGCCUUCGGGUUGUAAACUCCUUUCGACCGCGAGGAAGCCACCUGGUUGGAAGGGUGGUGACGGUAGUGGUAGAAGAAGCACCGGCUAACUA
rnacentral:rRNA from 1 species